rnacentral:tRNA from 5 species
CGGGGCGUGGCGUAGUUUGGCUAGCGCACCAGCAUGGGGUGCUGGGGGUCACAAGUUCGAAUCUUGUCGCCCCGACCA